UUUAAUGACAAAAGUAGCAGCCAGAGUUAUAAGUAUCUGGUUAUAUCUAGAAUUGAUCACAUUAAACAAAACACUAGUUGACUAAAAUCUAAACCUAAUUAACCAAACUCUAAACCUAAUAUCUCUGCUGCCGCCUCUCUCCUCUUUUGCCUCUUUGUUCUCGAUGUCUUCCUCUAUUCUGUCUCCAUCUCCGGCACCAUUGAUGACGACCAGGACGAAUUCGAGACCUGUGAUGACAGGGGCAAGCUCGAGACCGGUGACGAAGGGAGGAGACUUCUCCUCUGCUCACGACCACCACCUCUUGCUCAUGACCACCACCUUUACCAGCACUAAAUAUCAGAUUGUCAACAAAGAGAUAGAGAAAGAGAGAGAGAGAGACCACCACCUCUUGCUCACGACCACCACCUUUACCAGCACAAAAAAAAAUCAGAUUAAAAACAUUUCUUCUCUUCUCUGAAGAAAUCCUAGAACUACUUCACCAACGCUUUUGCUCCAGAUUCCAUUAAAUAACUCUGCAAUGGCUCACUCUUACUGCAAAUAAUGGGAAUUGUGCCUUUAUCUCACUGAAAAAUUCAAAGAAAUCCCCAAUUUCAUAGUUUGUGAUAACAAUGGAAGAAUAUCACAUCGAAGAAGGAGAUACUAAGUGUUUUAGGUUGGAAACAAUCUCUGAAAAAAACAAGGGAAACAAUAGACACGAGAAAGAUUUUGAAACUUUUAUACGAAAGGAGGAAGAGCAAACGCUUUUACCUCCAACUACCCAGAAAAAUUCAUACCUUAAGAAUUAUGGGAUUUUCGAUUUAUGAGUAGAUAGGAAGGUUUGGAAAAGUGUAAAAUAUCAACUUGGGUGACAUAUAAGAUUUCGUGUGAUUUUGGGUUACUAGAGAGAAAAUUAAAAAAAAAAAAAAAUUUAAAUUACAAAUCUAACAGGUGACAGGUUGCAAAUGCUCAGACAUGAACAAGGGUAAAAUGGUCAUCUAAUUCUCAGCUUUAUGCAUGAAAAACAUAAAUAGUGUAUUCAUCUAAUUAUCAUAUAAUUCUUGUGUGUAGAGUGCAAUUACUCUUAAAAAAAAUCAGAAAAAAGGGGAACGUCA
rnacentral:lncRNA from 1 species